UACGGGGGGGGCAAGCGUUGUUCGGAAUUACUGGGCGUAAAGGGCUCGUAGGCGGCCAACUAAGUCAUACGUGAAAUCCCUCGGCUUAACCGGGGAACUGCGUCUGAUACUGGAUGGCUUGAGAUUGGGAAGAGGGAUGCGGAAUUCCGAGGUGUAGCGGUGAAAUGCGUAGAUAUCUGGAGGAACACCGGUGGCGAAGGCGGCAUCCUGGACCAACACUGACGCUGAGGAGCGAAAAGCCAGGGGAGCAAACGGG
rnacentral:rRNA from 1 species